AGGAGCAUGCCAUAUAUGAGACAUCAUCACCUCUCCUCACUUGCCUGUCCUAAGAAAGUGUUGUUACUAUACCCUCUGAUCCUUACUGAUGCAUGCUGUGCACUUGACAGGGUGAGGAGAGUAGAUCACCUUAACUCAGCUUCAUUUAGCUCACCAAGAACACAGCUUAGCAGUCCACACGGCCCUUAUACUAAUGCAGUGCCUAAUUAUUUUUUUUUUUUUUUUUUGCAUAGGUUGGUGAGCACAAUACUAUUCCUUGUGUUUGAGUCUAUCAACAUUUUUCUUGGCCUGGCAUCAGGUUCAAGUCACAUUUUUUGAGUGGAUCAGUUUGAAACAUUUGCCCAGUCAAGAUGAAGCAGGAGCUACAAGAAGAUGUACUAAGUACAAGGCCACAGGAAGAGGAGACGUGAGCUGGCUGGCAAGGAGCACAAUUCUUACCCAUCGUUCUCCAGCAUCAUCUUCACAGUCCUCUGCUGGACUUGUUCAUGCCUGUUAACAUCUUUCUUCACCAAGAGGGCUCAAACCUAGAUGUGAUCAAACAAGUGCCUAGAAAAGGGGAAUAAUCCCUCCCUAUGGUCUCCUGCUUUCCUUCUGUUCAUGCUGCCCAGGAUGCAGUUGAACUUCUCUACCAGGGCAUACCAUGGCUCGCAUUCAGGUUGCUUUCAACCAUAGGUUCAGAGGACCCCUGAGGCCUUUUCAUCAGAGCUGCUCCCCAGCCUGCAUGAUUGCUAAGGGUUCUUACAUUCCAGAUGCAAGACCUGAUGAAGUUUCUACAGUCAACCCUCAGCUGAAAGCCAACACCCACUGCCUACAACCAGUAACUGGGGAAGAAGACUUAAACAGCAGACUUCCCUUAACAUGGACAGGUUACAUCAAUGACAUUGGCACUAAAGAGAAGACAACUGCAUGUUCAAGAGCUGAUUAACAGCAUUACAAUUUGAAAGAAAAAAGGUCUCCUGCAAGAUUUACAAACUUAAAGCCCAUGCAACACAGCCAGGGAGGAUGGGUGGAGUCACAAGGCAAAAAGAUAAAAUUCCUGCCACUCUUUUCAGAAAAGAAAGUUUAAUAAAUUAAACUGGAACAGACGUUCAGAUGGACACUCCUGUUCCAGUAACUCGGCAGCCUUUUCCACUCAGAUAUAUUUGUGCUGCUCUCUAGGCUGCCAGCCCUACUUUUCAUCUAUUAACCCAAGACUUGAUAUCUCAAAUCUCAACAGAUAUCAAUGGGAUCAGAGGACAAGACAUCAUGGGACACCACCAAGCUAAGCCCACAACAGUGCAGUUCAAAGUCUGUGUACAGAUUUAAACCUUCCUUACACCACCACUUAUUUUAGUGCAAUUAUGCUCACACACUUCAUUAGUAAGGCCUGAAUAUUCAGAUACAAGUUCAAAGAACUGUUUAAGCAUUUUAAAAAGUUGCUAAAAUCUUAAUGUAUGUGUAAGACUUUCUGACAUCAUAGGGACUUGGCAUUUGUUCUAGGGUUUUCCUUAAUUCCUUAAUAAAGGACAGACUUCUGGAA